rnacentral:rRNA from 1 species
UAAACGCUAGCGGCGUGCCUUAUGCAUGCAAGUCGAGCGGUAUAUCGCAAGAUAUACAGCGGCAAACGGCUGAGUAACGCGUAAGCAAUCUAUCCCUAAGUGGGGAAUAAUCCACCGAAAGGUGGACUAAUACCGCAUGUGGUGGUGGAGGUAGGUUUCCACUACUAAAGCCUUCGGGCGCUUUGGGAGGAGCUUGCGUCCUAUCAGGUAGUUGGUGGGGUAACGGCUCACCAAGCCAAUGACGGGUAGCUGGUUUGAGAGGAUGUCCAGCCAGACGGGGACUGAGACACGGCCCCGACUCCUACGGGAGGCAGCAGCAAGGAAUUUUGCGCAAUGGGCGAAAGCCUGACGCAGCAACGCCGCGUGAGGGAAGAAGGCCUUCGGGUUGUAAACCUCUUUUGUUAGGGAAGAAUAAUGACGGUACCUAAUGAAUAAGUCAUGGCUAACUACGUGCCAGCAGCCGCGGUAAUACGUAGGUGGCAAGCGUUAUCCGGAUUCACUGGGCGUAAAGAGCGCGUAGGUGGUCCUUCAAGUCAGAUGUUAAAUCUCCUGGCUUAACUGGGAGCUGUCAUCUGAUACUGCUGGACUUGAGGGUGGUAGAGGGAGGUGGAAUUCCCGGUGUAGUGGUGAAAUGCGUAGAUAUCGGGAGGAACACCAGUGGCGAAAGCGGCCUCCUAGGCCACCCCUGACACUGAGGCGCGAAAGCGUGGGGAGCGAACAGGAUCAGAUACCCUGGUAGUCCACGCCCUAAACUGUGGAAACUAGGUACAGGGAGUAUCGACCCUUCCUGCGCCGUAGCUAACGCGUU